UUUAAGCAUGAUUUCUAAUGGUAUGUACAUAAAGAAUCACAACAACCUACAUAUAUAGUUUCUACCCGAACCUGACAAUGAUAUACAAAAAUCUCUCCCUGGAUUUUAUGAAUAACCCUAUAUAUAUUUUACAAGGAUUUUUACGUUAUUACAAGCCAAUAUGAAUGAAUUACACAAAGCUAUUCAUUACACUAUAGGGAGCCUUAGCAGGCCCAACAUAAACCUGAGAGCCAAGCCUUCAGCACAACAGUCUUGAAAUAGUAGAAGGAUCCACAACACCUUAAGUCAGGCUUCCAGUGUGUCAAAAUUCACAAAGAGCCUCAAGGAUCCCGGGCAAUGCUCACACUGGAUCCAUACAUUCAACACAGGAUUCAUUAGAGAUUGGAAACCAGCUUCAAUAUAUCAGAGUUCAAAUGAGUCUCAAGGAUCAUAGGCAGUGCUCAUACUGGAGGUUGUAGGAACCUAGAUAGCUAAGAGUAGAAGUUUGAAAAUAGUAUAUGUAAGGGGGAGGGGAAAACUUUAGAAAAUAGUUUGGUUUCUUAGGAACAAAUAGGUUCAAAUUACAAGACUACAAAUUGAUCAGAGUCCAUAUUUAGUAGAUUGGUAUUAGUUCAGACAUGGAUGAUAUAUUAGAAUUAAGGCAAUCACAACAAGGGUAUAAAUACUUGAAUUACAAACAAAACUGACUACACAUAUUGGCAAUACCUAAACGUGCUAUGAAUAGAGGCAUACAACUGAAUCAAACAAGGUUUCACAUGACUGAAGUUGACUUGGUUUAUUAAUUAUCACUUUGUGAAAUCAUAUAGACAUGUAUUGAAUAGAAAAAUAUGUUGAAGUUAAAAUAACUAACCAAACAAACACAUAGAGCAGGAUGGUAUGCAUUUAAGCAUAUUAGUUCAGAAGGAAGUACACAGAAACAUGCUAAGAUAAACUAACGGUACUGGCACAUAGAACAUGAUAGGUUAACCGGAAUUAAGGCAUGAUAGUUAAGAGGGAAAUAAAUAUGUAGUGGUCUAACAUAUAGAAUAGAAUAAGAUAAGCAAGAAUUAAGGCAUACCAGUUAGGGAAGAAAGUAAACAGGAAGGUGAAGGCAGCUGGAAUCCAAGAGUUUAGCCUUGACUUUCAGCUGGUAAUGCAACAAAUCAGAGUGAUAGAAAGAACUCAAGUUGUGUGAGUGUAAGUGUGCAAGUGUAGGUGUGAGAUUGUGUAUCUCAGUGUGUGCUCGUAAGCAUAGGUGUAUCUUUUAAAAUUAAAAUGGUGAAAAGAUUAUAUAACAUACAGUAGAGUAAACAAGUAAGGUAGGAAAAUCAAGGGCACACAAAUAAGGUAUGCAAAAUCAAUUAACCAGUUAUUUAGGGCUAAACAUAAAUCAAUUAAGAGAACAGAAUCCUAAAAAUGUUACUCAAGUUAAGGGAAUCUCAUACGAAAUCAAUUAGCAGGCAUAAUUUAGGUUAAAUAUGGUAAGAAAUAAAUCCAAAGACCAUUUAUAGGCCAGUCACAAUAAUCAAAGCCCAGAAAUCAUGCUAGUAAAAUAACUAAGAAAAGUAGUACCAAUUAUGAAUCACAUAUAAGGAAAAAAUAAAUAAGAAUCAUUCGAAGAGAUAUUAGUUUUGAAAAGGAGUAAAGUUUCAAAUCCUAAUUAGGAAAGUAAACCAAUAAUCAAUUUAUUUGACAGAGCCAAAAUAAACGGGCAAAUGUUAAAGCAAGCAGUAGAAUAAUUAGAAACCCUACGGCAUAAAAACAAAGGGAUGAAAAUCAGUCAAAAAGUAAAGGAAGAAAAUCGGAUUUAAACACUUAAUCCUUCUAAAAUAUUUUACAGAAACUUAAAAAGAUGAAACCCUAAAUUCUAGAAAAAAAUAAAAAAACAGUCAACAAUAAUAAGAAAAAAAGUAGAAUCUUAAAGGAAAAGAAACAAACAAACUCAAACCGCUUCAAAUCUAAGGAGAUCUGGAGAUCUGAACGAUUUAGCCAGAAAUAGUUAGGUUAUGUAAAAAGAUAAAAAGUGGUGAGAAAAAUCUAGUUUGAACCACAGAUUUGAAGCCAUAAAUAUGAAGAUAUCAGUACUCACAAAUAUAGGAAUGAACACAGAUGGAUUCAUCGAGAAAAUGAGUGAUUUGAACCAAGUCUGUGUUGAAUCUCUUUGAGAUUUCAUCAAAUAACAUGGAAGUUGAACAACCAGUGAAGAUAGGAGGUCGGAUAAGGCCUAGAAUCGAAAAAGAAAACCACGGAUCGAAGGGAUUCUGGUGACCACGGGCUAGGGUUAGAAGGAGGGUGAGAGAGAAGAGAGGAGGAGAGGGUUUCAAGGGUGUUAGAUUUAGUAAAAUCAUUAGGUAUUGGGGUUGUUUGUUU
rnacentral:lncRNA from 1 species